rnacentral:lncRNA from 1 species
GACCGCAGCGUCGGCCGAGAGGACGCCGGGAUACUGGCCAGCUCCAAGUCGAAAGGAAGCGACGCUUGAGUUCUGUUUGGUGCGAAUUUUAAACAGAAGAACGCAGAAGAAUUCUCUUUAUGUUACCUUCAUUUAGCAACAAAUCAACUUGACUCAACUGAUACUUACUGAGUGCCUUUAAAGGAUGUGCUGAAACAGGUGGUGACUUUUCAAAUAAAAAUUCAGAGCCACAGGGAGAAAGUUGCAAUGUGGAACCAUCAACAUAUUGUACUUGUACUGAAUCAUCUUCAUAAAGUACCAUUCGCAGUUCGGCUGCCAUUACUACGGCAGGAUAAGAUAUCCUUCUAAGUCAAAGACUGAAUGAAAUAGGAAAAACAAUAGCAUAAAUAGUUC